UUCACAUUCACGUGUCUCCCUCUCUCUCUGUCGAGCUGCCACCCCUCUCCCUUUCUCUUACUCGAAUUCCUCUCUCUCUCUCUCUCCCCACGGUCUUCCACUAAAACUACUUCAGCCAUGAGUUCCUUUCAAGCCAUCACCACCGGUUGUGAAGAAAAGAUUUGGGCAAGAGAGGGACCCUUUUGGCCAAGCAAGGAAUAUGAGGUUCCGAGAUUUUUGAUGAUGGACCUAGUGAUGGGAUUGGUUGAUUUCAUGGUGCUCGGUUGAGGUAAAAUUGGUUGGCAUCCUGAGGUAAGUAGCUCUUUAAUGGGAUUUUUGGAAAAUAACCAUGUUGCAUAAACGUUAUUUUUGGGUCAAACACAUUUUGGGAAAUUAUUUGUGGGAUUAUGUUUUCUUAAAAAGUAUUGUGUUGUGACCUUAUUGUAUAUGACUAUUUAUGAAACAUGCAUCAUAUUUGGUAAUGGGAAUAGGGAAAUGCAUGAUUUGUUAGAUUGGAAAUGAUAAGCAUCUUUUACAAAAUUCUUGGUAAUGAAUUUUAUGGAUUUAUUGCAUUAUUUGCAAAUUCUAAAGAUGCUUUAUCUUGACUUGUGAUAUUUGGGAAAUUGAUAGAAAAUCUUAUUGACAAGAAACAAUUUUGGAAAACUUGAGAACCUUGUGAAUAUAUUGGAUACUUCAAAGGUUUUUGUGAAACUACUUGGAAAUGAACUGUGUUUUGAAUUCAUGUAAUCUGUGAGCUCUUUAUGUUUUACCCUUGUGCCGUGAUGUGUGAUUACCUGGUGAUUACCUAGCUAGAUACUAUAGUUUAUGUGACAUUGGUAUCUUAGCACCUAUCUUUGUGACGGCAUAUGAGUUUCGUCUUUGUGACGACAGAUUAGUUCCGGCUGUGUGUUGGCGAUGAGUUCUGUCUUUAUGAUGGCAGAGGAGUUCCAUCUUUGUGAUGACAGAUGAGUUCCGUCUUUGUGACGGCGUUGUCACGUGGCAUUGGGUUGGAUUUUCGGGUUUUGGAAUGGUGUUUUGAUAGCUCACAGUAAAUAGUAUGUAGUUUCAUGUUAAAAUAUUUUGAGAAAGCUUGGUGCUACAUCGUUUAAAUCAUUCUUGUCAUUUUACCAAUGAAAAUGGAUUUUCUUGAUUUUCAUGGAAAUUCCCAAAUUAUAACAUGUUUUGUAAAAUGUUCAUUAUCAUGAAACUUGCAUUUCCCCCAUCCCCAUUAAUUGUGCUACUUACUGGGUUUUAGCUCAUCCCAAUCUCCAACAGUUUUAUAGAUAAAUUAGCUACACGUCGGGCAUGGAGCUUAAUUUAUUGGUGGUGAUUGGAGGGCUAUAUUAAAUUGGGAAACUUGGGCCAUAAAUGGUUGAUGACUCACUCUUGUAAAGUUCAACGAGAUCAAAAUUAAUUCUACUGGAGGUUGGAUACUUGAGGUUGUUAGCCUUGGGUCUGGUAGGCCUAGAUUUUCUAUUGAGGUUGCAUACCUUAGAGAGGAUUGUGACUUUGUGUUUAUUUAUUUGGAGCAUUGGAUUGUUAAGUGUAUAUGGAGACACAUGAUUUGUAGUUUGUAUUGCUUGUAAAUGUGUCAUAGAGCUCUGACUUGUAUUGUGGAGAGAUCAAUAUAUUUAUUUACUUCGUCAAUGGAAAAAAAAAAAAAAAAUCCCAUACAGGUUCUCUUGAAGGCUCAGUUUUUCAUGCUUUGGACCCUUUUGGGUUUGGGGCGUGACAUUCAUGAUCUCCCCUCUUUACAAUGGCUGAUGAUUACUGGUUGUCCCAUAUUACGAGCAAGAUGCCCGGGGGAAAUAGGUGAAGAUUGGCCCAAGAUUUCUCAUGCUCUAGUCUUGAGAUUAUGAUGAUGGAGGCGGUGAGAAACAAGUUGUUCAAAGAAUAGACUUGGGCUUAAAAAUUCAGACCUAUCUAAAAUUUGCAAUUGGGCAAUAUAGAAGUCAGCGCCUCUGUCCAAGCAUUGGGCAACAUUGCACACGUUCUUUUCUUUAAUGAGUUUAAUCACUACAAGUAUGGGGCAUUGUGUGAUGGAUGGAUAGAGUUCCUGGAGUUCUUUAAGUUAGAGAUGUAGUAUGGGUAAGGACGGUUGAGCCAAGACACGUAAGAGGAGUUUUAUUAAAUGUCCCAAAGAUGGAGUAACUUGCUGCAAAGCGAUGCAGAGGUAAGCCAAUUCUUGUAGACCAUAUUAGUUAUUCUUACCUAAUCAUUUUUGUGCCAACUGCCAAAAGACUACAUAGGAAACCAUAUCAACAUUCUUCUUGUAGACUAUUUAGAUGCUAAUGUGCCACUCAUCUAAUAAUAUAUGGUUUAAUUGGCUGGUUCUAUAUUAUCCAAUGCUGAUCUCACCAAGGGAGGAGUAGCUUGAUACAAUCCUACUCUUUACCACUUGCCCUUGAUUUUAUUCUUUUCUAAUACUAAAAGACAAGCAUUUUCUUACAAAAAUGAGUGGAAGUUGUUUCCAAUUUUUGAUAGUUUUGUGUAGAUGUUUCUGUUUGAAUUGAAGGUUGUUUCUUUUGUAAUUAUAACCAGAAAUCUAUGCAGUAUGUGAAAUUACGCAUUUUAAACUAGUUCUAAGUGUUGGCCUUUUUUGUGAUUUGGAAGCUAAAAUUAAGGACCACUAAAUGAUUAAUCAAUUCAAAGGAAGGACUCCAGUGCCAAAAGUGCAUGUGUCAAACCAACUCAAAGAUGCAGUUGGUAGAAAGUAAAAUGGUUGAAAAUAAUUGUAAAUGUUUGCCUUAACAUACAUAUAGAAGUAGGUGGGAAUGAUCUAGAGAUUUGUUUCCAGGAAAAAAGUUUUACCCAAUGUCAAAGUGUCUCUCAACUUUCCUAUUAGGAUAAUUUGAAAAUCACUUGCUUAAAAUUUUACAUGUCACUGGUUGGCUGAAUAUUAAUUUAAGGUACAAAGAUUUUCUCAAUUUUCCCAAAAGGAAUCUUCCCUGGAGAUGUAGUUCUAUAUUUAAGAACCAAAUCAUACACCAAUAACUAAGUCAUUUUCAUGACUUUCAUGUUAUCCAAAUCUGGGGUCUCUUGUUGAGUGAUUUCAACAUCUAUUACUCUGCAAAUACGUUCACAACUUCACUUUCAAUUUUGUUCUAGUUCAAUGCUUUCUUGGAGUGACCAACAAGCUCAUCUCAGUUGAAUCCUUGUAAUCUCAGAUGCCAUAGUAUGGUAUCAUUGCCCUCAUUAAGGGCUUAGUUGCAUCGCACUCUCACCACUUUAAGGAGAUUGUGAAUCUCCCGUUGUCCCACCACUUACUAGAAAAAUACAAGGAUUGAAUAGGUAUAUGAUGGCUAAAAUCCCAAAUUUCUGCAGGAAGGAAAAAAAAAAACAUAUGAUGGGACAGAUUAAUAUCCUUUUGCUAAAGAAAUAUACCCAAGAUUCUACAGAACAUGAAUUGAGGAGGUGGUAAUGGAUCAUAAGAUUGCUGGUGCCCCAAAUAUUCUAAACUGGACCAGAAGGAUCUCACCUCAUUAGCUGCACAGUUGAUAACUUCAAGUGCAAGGCAAAUUGGGACUUGCUCUGUUGAGAUGGCUUUUGAGACUUCCAUAACAAAGAAUCUCUUUCGGUGUGCUGUUAUCUCUACAUAGCAUGGUAUUAGUCAUCCUUGAAGUAGUCUUUCAAUUCUACGUAAGGCUGCUUGGGAUACCACAAUAUUCCAAGCCAUGGGCAAUUACAUCUAUGAGACUUGAACACUUACAUUUUGUGCAGAGGCUAGGUGUGUGUUCAUGUUAUAGUAUCAGUUUCCCAACAAUCUUUCUACAUUAGCAUAAAAUUUAGCAAUCACAUAUCAUAGAAAGGGCUCUAUGUUAGUUGGGGUCCCUUUCAUCAUGUCCUUUAUCAUCAACUGCCUUCCUCUGUGCUUGGCAACAUUACUCCACAUUGGUGCCUGUUUGGAUUGCCACCUGUAGUGGCUGGUGAUUCACUGAUCAAAGAGCAGAUUUUGGAGAGAUUAUUCAUCAAUCUAGUGGUUGGUGAAUCACUGAUCAAAGAGUAUUAUUAAGUAGCUAUCCUUGUGGAGAAGUACUAGUCAUCUUCGACAGUUUUGCUACAUAUAUGAGGACAGUUGAAUGUAUCUUUUCAUUUCGUCAGGAAAGUUGAAUUUCCAAUUUUCAGCAUGUUGAAUACUGCAUUGAAUAUUUCAUUUCUUAAGUUUAUGAUUUGAGCGUCCAGCUUUGUGUGACAAUUUUUUUUGUGGAUCAACUUAUUUUUCCUACUUGGAUUUGAUUAUAAUCAAGGUGCUCUUUGUACUUGUAUUCCGAUUAAUAUUGAGUAAAUCUUUUCUUCU